GCUCAGUUGCAUCGAAAAGAUGCAACCAUGUCCAUUAGGCAUUGGAUGCUACAGAUUAGAGGAUGGGUUGUGCUCAAUAUUUCGGAUACGGUGAGGGAUCCAAUCAGGAAUCUAAUUCGUGCAAAUGGUGGGUCUGACUUAACUAAAGAUUGGAGCAAUAUUCCAGGCACGGUGAGCUUCAUGAAUUAGAGAUCAAGUUUUGGAUGCACCAUAAUUAGAGAAUCAUUGGACAAGAGUUAUCCACUCAUCG
rnacentral:lncRNA from 1 species